UACGUAGGGUGCAAGCGUUAAUCGGAAUUACUGGGCGUAAAGCGUGCGCAGGCGGUUGUGCAAGACAGAUGUGAAAUCCCCGGGCUUAACCUGGGAACUGCAUUUGUGACUGCACAGCUAGAGUGUGUCAGAGGGGGGUAGAAUUCCACGUGUAGCAGUGAAAUGCGUAGAUAUGUGGAGGAAUACCGAUGGCGAAGGCAGCCCCCUGGGAUAACACUGACGCUCAUGCACGAAAGCGCGGGGAGCAAACAGG
rnacentral:rRNA from 1 species